GCACCGCCCCAGAUCGGAUAAGGUAGAGGCGACGGGACGGCUUUCGUCCCUAUCGACCAACCGCCCCCAAUCCCGAUCCAAACGACGGCCACCCUUGUGCUUCCACCGCCGACCGUGCUGCGGGAAGCCGCGCCUCCUCCGGAACAAGCCCGUCUGCUGGACCGUCGUAUCGCGCGCCGUCGCAGCCGGCCACGCGUGGGAGGAGCGCGCUGUCGCAAUCGUUAUGAGGGGAGCCGCGCCCGGGCAAGAGCUGCCAUUCGCGCUUCUUGCUGACCGCAGGCCGCCGGUGUAUUCGGAGUCGAGUGCGUCAAUCCGCGUUCGACAUCAUUUUUGAGGAGGGCAUGCAGACACAUGUUUGUGUCCUUGCCUUGAGCAGCCUGAUGACCGUGGGAGCGUGGCAGUGCCAUGCGCCAGAGGAGGAGCACUUCUUGCGGUAGGUGCGAGCCGGGCCGCGCCGUUCUUCAUUCUGCCGGCACCGGCGGCACGCGCCUGACGUUGGCCGCCUCCGCCGCCGAUGGGAAGGACGCCACUGCUGGUGUCCACGCCGCCGGGAGGCUCUCCUCGCCUCUGUGAUUCUUGCGCGUGUAGCCGCCUUCUCGAGAUGGCCUUUCUCGCUCAACGGAGAGCAGAGCGCUGAUAACCUGUGAUGAAUCAAAAGUAAUGACAAAUGAACUCGUAUCUUUAUUACUGGGAUGAUGUACAUAUAUAUCCUCUGAAGGGCGGCAUCCAACCGGUGCAACGGUUCGGAGAGACAGGAGCGAAGGGACGUGAUGGUUAGCAGAUCACUAACCGCCUCCCUAAUGUAACGUGGAGAUUAUCCACAUUAUUUAAUUACAGAAUAAUUAAUUCCUAA